rnacentral:rRNA from 1 species
AUGGGUGGCAUGCCAUUUACCUACCUAGGGCUCCCCCUAGGCACCACCAGACCCAUGGUCCAAGACCUCAUGCCCCUUGUUUGCAGAGCCGAACGUCGUGUGACCGCCACCAUGUUGAUGUUAUCGUACGGCGCCAAACUAUCACUGCUCAAUUCAAUCGUCACCUCCUUGGACAUGUUUGCAAUGUGCACAAUCAAGAUCAACCCAAAAAUAAUAACCCAGCUCGAUAAAAUUAGAAGACACUGCCUUUGGAACAAGAAAACAAACAAUGGAGACCGUUGUAAUUCCCUGACAGCCUGGGAUCUAGUCUGCCGCCCCAAAAAGCACGGAGGACUCCGUGUCUUGGAUCUGCAAGUUCAGAAUGACGCCCUUCUGCUGAAAUUUUGA